GAUCAAUUUUAAAAUGUACUUAAAUUCAACAAGAAAAUAACCGUUUUCAUUUAAAUUUCAGUUUGUACAGGAUUUGCAAGUAUCAUGUAGGGUAGGUGUCUUCUGAUUGGUCAGAAUGUUCUAGAAGAUUCAAGUUGUAAGCCAAUCAGGAGAUACCUACUGACCACCUAUUUAAAGGCACUUCUUGCUCAAACCGUCCUUGUUUGCUUCUGACCAUAAUGCAGUCUAGUUGUUUUGUGUGUAACAGUGAUUUGUUAAUUUUAAAGUGAAGUUUUUAGUGUUUGUUCCCCCUUUUAAGGGGGUUCACGAUUUGGAAUUAAAACUUAAAUACUACUAAAUUUAUAAUGUACCAUAAAAUUGAAGAAUGAGAUGUAAAGAUGAAGUGAUUUUUAAUUUUUUAAUAAAUAGCAUGAUUUUGAA